AUGAACGCUGGCGGCGUGCCUAAUACAUGCAAGUCGAGCGAACGGACGAGAAGCUUGCUUCUCUGAUGUUAGCGGCGGACGGGUGAGUAACACGUGGAUAACCUACCUAUAAGACUGGGAUAACUUCGGGAAACCGUAGCUAAUACCGGAUAAUAUUUUGAACCGCAUGGUUCAAAAGUGAAAGACGGUCUUGCUGUCACUUAUAGAUGGAUCCGCGCUGCAUUAGCUAGUUGGUAAGGUAACGGCUUACCAAGGCAACGAUGCAUAGCCGACCUGAGAGGGUGAUCGGCCACACUGGAACUGAGACACGGUCCAGACUCCUACGGGAGGCAGCAGUAGGGAAUCUUCCGCAAUGGGCGAAAGCCUGACGGAGCAACGCCGCGUGAGUGAUGAAGGUCUUCGGAUCGUAAAACUCUGUAAUUAGGGAAGAACAUAUGUGUAAGUAACUGUGCACAUCUUGACGGUACCUAAUCAGAAAGCCACGGCUAACUACGUG
rnacentral:rRNA from 1 species